GCUUAACACAUGCAAGUCGAGCGGUAAGGCCCUUCGGGGUACACGAGCGGCGAACGGGUGAGUAACACGUGGGUGAUCUGCCUCGUACUCUGGGAUAAGCCUGGGAAACUGGGUCUAAUACCGGAUAUGACCACGAAUCGCAUGAUUUGUGGUGGAAAGAUUUAUCGGUGCGAGAUGGGCCCGCGGCCUAUCAGCUUGUUGGUGGGGUAAUGGCCUACCAAGGCGACGACGGGUAGCCGGCCUGAGAGGGCGACCGGCCACACUGGGACUGAGACACGGCCCAGACUCCUACGGGAGGCAGCAGUGGGGAAUAUUGCACAAUGGGCGGAAGCCUGAUGCAGCGACGCCGCGUGAGGGAUGACGGCCUUCGGGUUGUAAACCUCUUUCGACAGGGACGAAGCGCAAGUGACGGUACCUGUAGAAGAAGCACCGGCCAACUACGUGCCAGCAGCCGCGGUAAUACGUAGGGUGCGAGCGUUGUCCGGAAUUACUGGGCGUAAAGAGCUUGUAGGCGGUUCGUCGCGUCGAUCGUGAAAACUUGCAGCUCAACUGCGAGCUUGCGGUCGAUACGGGCGGACUAGAGUACUGCAGGGGAGACUGGAAUUC
rnacentral:rRNA from 1 species